AACUUUCAAAAUUGAAUACAAACAUAAAUCAGUGCAACUUCAUGUAAUCUCCCUAUUUUACAGAUGGAGAAACUGAGGCACAGAAAACACAAGUGACUUGGAGUGUCACUGUCAGAGCUGGGAAGAAAUUCCAGGAGUAGAGUCCCCUGCAGUAUCCACUGGACAUCUCCCUUGUGCAGGUCUGCAUAUCUGCAUAUUUUUUGGAAUCAGGUGGUGUUUUCAGUGUGGCAUAUCAUGUAAUUGUGUUGAGUAUAUCUGGAAUGUUAAACACUUAUUUUGAGUUGUAAGCCUUUUGACCCAGUGCCAAUAAUUAUGUGCUAUUGGGAGGCAGGUUUAGAGAGAGAAUUAAUGAUAAUAAUUAUUAACAAUGAGAUUUGCCUAAAUUUUAAAGCUGUCAUUAAAUUGUUUUGCCCUUUCUUUACUGGUAUCUAAUUUUUGCUCACUAUAUUUCCAAUAUAUUUUACUAAGAUAUAAUACAUGUGGAGUUUAUAUUGGAAUAUGUCAAAAAUCACAAUUUCCCUUGCAUUCCAUGUCUGCUUGGAAACACUGACUUAAAUACAACUGCUCGAGUUUCGGCAUGUUUAAAUGUACCUUCUUGAAUGAAGAAAAACUGCACAGCCAAUGAAAAGAGUAUUGCCUAAUGACGAGAUGUUAUCGCCUGCAUUGAGGAGCAUUUCAGAUGGGUUGUGUAGAGGCAGAAUCCAAGUAGAUAUGUUCCUAUUUUCUCACCGAGAGCCUGAUCCUACUCCAAAUGAACCCAGUGGAAAGACUCCCAGUGACUCAAGUGCACUACACAGAAUUUGUUUUGAAUAG
rnacentral:lncRNA from 1 species